UACCAUCUCUAUACACUCUAGAUCACAUCGUACAGAGGUUUCCCACCUUUUGUGUGUGUUUGUGUUUUGUUGUGUGACCUUCAACACUUGGUUUGACUUAAUCUUUGAGUUCUUGUCUAGUGGAAGGUAUAAUUUCUCAUUCUAUCACACACCUAUACUCUAGUCACACACAACGACACCAUAGGAGCUCUAGAUGAGCAUCCCUGCUGAAGUGUUUAGGAUUGUGUUUAGUGGUUGUUAGUUUUAGGUGAGUGUUUGGUAUUAAUCUCUCUUUUUAUUUCUUGUACCUUAUUUUACUUGAAGGUUGGGUCCGUUGCUUUUGCAACUUCUUUUCUUUUGUGAUUUACUUGAAUAUUUAUUUAUUUUUGGUAUGUGAUUUACUUGAAACUGUAGUUCUUGAUUUCAAUUUUCUGGGCUUGUAGCAUUUAACAUGUCCUAUUUCAUGAUAGAAGAGGUCUCACAUGGUUAUGUUAUGGUAUGCCUACGAUGGAAACUAAUCUAAUUUUUUCUCGAUAUUUUGUAGUCUAUGCUUGUUUUCUUGAAUCCAAUCAAGUUUGGAAUAACCUUUACCUUCAGCAAUUUGCUCUCACUUGGGAGAUGGCUUUUGGCGUGGACUUGUGGAUAGUCUACAUUUUUGUUUAUGAAGGACACUUGGCGCUUUUGUAUAAUCAUGCUAACUAUGUCUUCCUCUGCUUUUGUGAAUAUUAGCAUUACUGAUACAUAUAACUUUUGUAAUCCAACUAAUAGUUGUUGGUGUGGCAUAUAGAUCACUUUUGUAAUCCAACGAUGGCAAGUUGUACCACGCCAAAUGGCCAUAUUGCAUGGUAGUAAAUAUAUUUUUUGCAUAUGGCGGGUUGAAUUUUUGUAUGGAAAUAUAAUUUUAGUUUGAACAAUAGUUGGUUUGUAUGGAAUAUAUAUAUUUAAAGUUA